ensembl:snRNA U6 U6 spliceosomal RNA
GUCUCGCUUCGGCAGCACAUAGACUAAAAUUGGAAGGAUAUAGAGAAGAUUAGCAUGGCCCCUGCACAAGGAUGACAUGCAAAUUUGUGAAGCAUUCCAUAUUUAA